rnacentral:rRNA from 1 species
UGGGGAAUAUUGGACAAUGGGCGCAAGCCUGAUCCAGCCAUGCCGCGUGAGUGAUGAAGGCCUUAGGGUUGUAAAGCUCUUUUGUCCGGGAAGAUGAUGACUGUACCGGAAGAAUAAGCCCCGGCUAACUUCGUGCCAGCAGCCGCGGUAAUACGAAGGGGGCUAGCGUUGUUCGGAAUCACUGGGCGUAAAGCGCACGUAGGCGGACCAUUAAGUCAGGGGUGAAAGCCUGGAGCUCAACUCCAGAACUGCCUUUGAUACUGAUGGUCUCGAGUUCGGAAGAGGUUGGUGGAACUGCGAGUGUAGAGGUGAAAUUCGUAGAUAUUCGCAAGAACACCAGUGGCGAAGGCGGCCAACUGGUCCGAUACUGACGCUGAGGUGCGAAAGCGUGGGGAGCAAACAG